rnacentral:tRNA from 1 species
UAACCUUCCUAGAAUA